rnacentral:sRNA from 1 species
GUCGCUGUCAAUCCAGCGACCUGGGAUUGGCGUCCCGGAACAAACGGGCGGUCACGACACCGCUGAACAGCGGUUUUUUU